rnacentral:lncRNA from 1 species
AUUAGUCAUCGUCUGAAAUAAAUUAGCAUGAUGAGUAGCUAGGUGUGAGAUCAUUUUUAUUUUAUUGAAACCAUCGAUAUUAUUUGAUGGUCUAAAAUAAAUUAGCAUGAUGAGUAGCUAGGACUCUUUUCUAGAAAAGGAAUGGUUCCAAUGGGUCAUUGAAUUAUGUUUCUAUUCAACAACUAUUGAGGACUCGUAAUCAAAAGAAAAAACAGCAGGUAUGAAUACCAAUGUGAUUUGUCUUUGAAAUGGUGGGUAAUAUGGUAUCUAUGAUAUGUCAAUAAAGUUCAUCAAACUGGCGGGGAUCUUGUCAUCUCAAACGGUAUAUGAUAUUAUUACAGGGUGCUCCUUAAUUUACUUUAUGUCUUUACUAUAUCAAUAUGAUCAUUAGUUUGCACGUGAUAAGUUAUUCCAUGCACUUAAUCACCAAGGUUCCUACAUUAAAUUAAUAAAUUCUAUGUGUGUUCAGAAAGCAUGGACAACCAAAAUAUUUAGAGAAAGAUUUAUGCCUAUAUGCUGGUGAUGGACAACUAGAAGAAUGAAGAAUUAUAGAAAGGUUUAUUGGUGACUGCUGGUGCUGAUGGGGCAUGAAUAGAUCAAUAACAGAACUUAUAUUUAGUUUUAUUUUAUUGUGCCAAACAUAGUUGCAAACUUGUAGUCGGAGAUGAUGUUUUUAUUCAGCUGUGUUCAUAUUUAUUUUAGCAGUACUCUGGUCAUUAUGUUAUUACUUUGGUUAAGACAUAUUUGAAGUUAAUGAAGGUUUGAGUUCUUAUAUGUGACGAUGAAAUAUAUUCUCAUGGCACAAUUAUUUUGUAACAACAAUUAAAUUUCAGUCUAUAGAAGAAAAUUGUAAAGGCGCUAGCCAAAAUGCUCUCAUUGCAACAAACCACAUCGGAACCACCAUUUGUUAUUACAAUAUACAUUAUUUUCCUAAACUUUAUGUGUUUCUAUAGGACGUGUCUACUACCAACAAUGAUUUGUUGCAUUUUCCAUCUAUUACCACCAACAAUGAUUCGUUGUAUUUUCCAUCGAUUACCACCAAUAAUGAUUCGUUGCAUUUUCCAUCUAUUACCACCAACAAUGAUUCGUUGCAUUACCCUUUAUUGCCACAUGCAAAUGAACGUUGUAAUUGACUCUAGCCACCAAAUUUGUUACUUUGCAAUAUUUAUUUGAUGCAAUGGAGCAUACUUCAUG